UACAGAGGGGGCAAGCGUUGUUCGGAUUUAUUGGGUUUAAAGGGUGCGUAGGUGGCUUUUAAGUCAGGGGUGAAAGACGGUAGCUUAACUAUCGCAGUGCCUUUGAUACUGAAGAGCUUGAAUGAACUAGAGGUAGGCGGAAUGUGACAAGUAGCGGUGAAAUGCAUAGAUAUGUCACAGAACACCAAUUGCGAAAGCAGCUUACUAUGGUUAGAUUGACACUGAGGCACGAAAGCGUGGGGAUCAAACAGG
rnacentral:rRNA from 1 species